rnacentral:rRNA from 1 species
UACAGAGGUCCCAAGCGUUGUUCGGAUUCAUUGGGCGUAAAGGGUGUGAUAGGUGGCGCCGUAAGUUCGGGUGUGAAAUCUCGGGGCUUAACUCCGAAACUGCAUUCGAUACUGCGGUGCUCGAGGACUGGAGAGGAGACUGGAAUUCGAUGGUGUAGCAGUGAAAUGCGUAGAGAUCAUGAGGAAGACCAGUGGCGAAGGCGGGUCGUCUCGGACAGUUCCUGACACUGAGGAGCGAAAGCGUGGGGAGCGAACAG